GUGUGUGUGUGUGUGUGUGUGUGUGCGCACGCACUGUGUGCUCAUGUGACAGUGACACAAUGCAGAACAAACUGUGUAGUAUUCCGGGGGAUGGGUUGGGCUUGGGCAAGGCUACUGUGUACAGCUGGUAGUAAAGGGAGACCCAUAGUCCUACUACUCACAUUAUCUCCUAGAUGUAUGUCAUGAAGCUGAGAAGUAAACAGCAUCUUCUUGUCCAACUAGUUGCUUUUAACCUUUAGCAAUGGUGGUGAAUUUGUUUCGCUCGCACACUCCCUCUUAUUCUCUGGCUUGUCUCCUCUUCUUUUUCACUUUGUGAGAAACACAUAAUUUAACCGAAGUGUAUUGAUCCUGUAGAUAGCUGGUAAGUUGUGUGCGUGUUUUGUCUUGUGUGUUAACUUAGGCUAGCAUCAGAGUUUUCCCUCCAGGCCAUGGGGGUGUUUUAGCUGGGUCAUCCCUGACUCUCCACACGCCUGUUUAACAACAUGGAGCUCCUCCUAACUGGCUUCCUGUCCAAACCAGUUUAUCUGUAAACAAGCAAUUUUUCCCCUUCCAGUCUCAUUGUCCACACUGUACCAGCAGGCAUGUACACAAUGAAUGCACGUCCUAUCUCUCUCUCUCUCUCUCUCUCUGUGUGUGUGUGUGUCUCUCUCAAAGUGUACUGCCUUUCACUGAGACAGAUUUUACUGAGAACUCAAACACUUGUUUGAUAAUCAGAUGAAGUUUUGACAUUUUUUAUUUAACCUUUAUUUAACUAGGCAAGUCAGUUAAGAACAAAUUCUUAUUUACAUUGACGGCCUACUUGUAAAGCCCCCCCUAACCCAGACGACGCUGGGCCAAUUGUGCGCCGCCCUACGGGACUCCCGAUCACAGCUGUUUGUGAUACAGCCCGGGAUCGAACCCGGGUCUGUAGUGACGCCUCUAGCACUGCAAAGCAGUACCUUACACCGCCAGUUAGUUUGAACAGCUUUAUGUAUUUAUUAAAUGUAUGUUUUCUGAAUGUCAUUUAGAAAGAUUAAGAUUGGGAAGACAAUGGCAGAAUACAAACUGUAAGUUUACUCAUUUUGUUAGAUUAAAGUUUUAAGAAACAUGAGUUCCAAUUUGUCUGUUGACAUCCGAGCUGUUUGUCAAGAGUGCCUGUCUAAAAACAAAUGUCUACCUCUCUGUCAAGGGUGGCAAAAUUCUGGUAACUUUCCCUACAUUCCCCUGUUUUCCAGAAUUCCUGGUUGGAGGAUUCCGGAUUUCCUAUUAUAAUUCCGGGAAUCCUCAAACCAGGAUUUCUAGAAAACUUGAGAAUUUGGGGAAAGUUACCGGCAUUUUGCAACCCUAAGUGUAGGUCUGUAUUUGUACCCAUCACCAUGUUGAAAAUCAUGUUACACACCUGACCCUAGCUCCCUCUCCUUCCUGAAUAGUAGAUCAGGAGUGUCUUUUUCAAAUGAGGCCUGGAUGUUAAGCAGAGCAGAUGCUGAGGGCCCUGGUGUAUUGUAGACAUAACAGGUGUGUGUUUUUUUAAAUAUAUAUUUUUUUAUUAUUUAACUAGGCAAGUCAGUUAAGUCGGUGCACACAGCGCAGGAGGUGAUAACAGGAUGAAAUGGCUGUCGGUGCACACAGCGCAGGAGGUGACAGGCUGCUUAUUGACAGGUUGUUCUGCCCAACCGUGUCCUGGCCUGGCCUGUCUGUACACGGCUGGGAAUUUCGGUGUAUAGCACAAACCAAACAGCCACCCUAUGUAUAGGCUAUGCCUACAAUUCAGCAUAAAGUUAUAUAAUAGGCAUCUCACACAUGAUCUCUUAGAAUCAGGCUAUCAUACAAUGUAAGAUAAUUAUUAAUCUAAACAAAUUUGGCAUUGGCGGCUAUAGGUAAAUUGCAAGAGAAUGGAUCCAACAAAGUCGCUCAGUUAGUCUCGGCUGGGCUAUUCAAGCCUGGUUAAAGACUAAACUCGCGUUAUUGGCCUCGUGUCUGUUCAAAUAGCCUAUGUUCAUUGAGAACUCCCUCUGUCUUUCAUAUGUCUGCGAGAAAGUAUCUCCUACACUUCAAAGCAGUCUUACAAACUCUACAGCGGUGCAAGUUGCCAUGGCUGGCAGAAAUUAAGCGGGAGUGACGGAGAGAGGCGCCCGCCGACUCUCCUCCAAACCCAACCCCCACGUUGUGCCGCGCAUCAUCACCAGUGGGGUGAGCGAGCGCUGUGCUGCUGUUAUGCUGGUGGGUAGAAAGUGCAGUUAUUUCCCAUUCCCUAUAUACACCUCUUUAAGUCUGUUGUCAAUAACUUACAUCUAUGCGUGGCACAGACUAUACCCCCCUCCCCAAUAAUUUAGUCUGGCAGUUGCAGUCUGAUUAGUAUUUUAUUCAAAGGAAGGUUAGAAAAGAAGUCUGACAUUCUUAGUAAAGUGUUGCCUACUUCAAAUCAAUUGCAUAAGCAAAACAACAUCUGGUCUGGAUCGGUUGAAAGGUUUGAAAGUAGCUUGAGUCUACAUCCCGGUGCGUGAGUAAGUAAAGAGGGUUAUCACCAGUUCGCCUUGUCAGGGUGAAUUUCGUAGGCUACCGUGCUCUUUUGCUGUUGACGUUCAACCAGGAAAUAAUCAUUUUUAAAAUCUGAAUUCUUAUCCUUCAACCACCUCAUCUUUAUUUGAGUAAUACUUCGGAGUUUAAAUGGAACAUUGGUGUUUAGCCUAAGUGUGGAAAUAGGACUAUAUAGGCUAUUAUACGUUUUUACGUUUUAAUAUGGGCUGUAUACUUUUUUUUCAGGUCCUAAAGCGUUAACUCCCCCCUCCGUUGGCCAUUGAAGAGAACGCUGCGUGGGCUGCUAGAUCAUUUGAGAGUGCAUUUUCCUCCUCCAAUCCGCUACACAGAGCACACUCCCCAUAUGCCCAAUGGGGAGUAGGGGUGGCUCUAACGAAUUUGAAUGAAGAGGGUAGCUUUCGGCGCCAUUUUCGAGUGAGCUGCGAUUGCUUCAACAGCUGAGAGGAGCGGCUGCAGUGGGUAGGCAAGACGAGCUCUGGAGCUGUCGCAAGACACGGACAUUAUUUUCGGAGGCUCGAAAAAUAUAUACAAAAAUUAUCCCGAAAAAGAACACCGAUGGAUAAAGAAAAGGGAAAGAAGGCCAAGACUACGUCGUAUCAGGACUGGGGGAAACGUUAGAUAGUUAGCCAGCUACUGUAACGUUAGCAUUACUAGCGAUAAGAAAUUGGUGUCUGACUUGGCGUCUGUGUAGAAAUGUAACGUUUAUAAAUGCAUUUACGACAAAUAAGUGGACCUCUCUAAAAAGAACCAAACAGUUUAGAAAAAUAUUUCAGGGUCGAUUGAGUGGAGAAUGACCGGCAUAAUUUAGAUUUUUUUGCGUUUUAGUCAUAUUUUAGGACGUUCCGUUUGAGCGGGAGGUGGAAAAGCGGGAGGCAGUGGAGUGAAGAGCCAGUCGGCACCGCUGUCAACAACAUGCACUGCGAGCUGAAUCUUCAUAUCGUUGGCUUCCUCUUGAAAACGCUGCAAGGAUUUUUCUGUAAUGCUGAGGACACCUUUUCAUGUUUUGAUUUAUUCCUUUUUUUUUCAAAUGUAUUUUUUUUUAGGAAUUUAAAAGUCUUGUUUCACGUUUUUAUCACGUUUCUAGCUAAGUUAACAUUGGUGGAUUCGCCUGAUUGAAAACGUUAUACAACGUUUUAUGGGCUCUGUCAUGGUGUGCUUCCACAACUGCAGUAUCACAGGCAGGCCAGAGAGGCUAUCAUGGUGCCUCCCUCAUAAAACAGGAUACUACUUAACACGUCCUGAUCAUUUUUACUUUUUAACCAGUUCAGAGCAGAAUCCAUGUUUUGUUUUUAUUAUUUUGGGAGUGUGACUGGUAUGUAAAGUGUAUGCCUACUGUUGAUGUCAGAUAAGUGCUUAUCAUUGGAAGCAUGUUUUUAUUUAACUAGGCUAGUCAGUUAAGAACAAAUUCUUAUUUACAAUGACGGCCUACCAAAAGGCCUCCUGCAAGGACGGGGUCUGGGAUUAAAAAUAUAGGACGAAACACACAUCACGACGAGACACCAAUACAUACAUAAAGAAAGAUGCCGAUAGGUAUGCUAUGUACACACUGGCUCACACACAUUAAGUUGCUUGUGUCAUGCAUGCAUCACCUCCUACUUAAAACAAUGUCUCAGGUUGGUGUGCUGAGCAAUUGUAUUGAAGUCCUAAUAUUUUUAUACUGGUGAAGUGAUAAUGCCAUUUGUAUAUCAUUGAGGGUUUUGUAAAGCUUUGCACAAGUUAGUGCAGUUCAUAUUUUGUGUGUGUACUGAACAAAAAUAUAAAUGCAACAACUUCAAAGAUUUUACUAAGUUACAGGCUGUGCCUGGGAGGGCAUAGGCCCAGCCGAUCAGAAUGAGUUUUUCCCCACAAAAGGGGUUUAUUACAGACAGAAAUACUCCUCAGUUUCAUCAGGUGCCUGGUGUCAGACGAUCCCACAGGUGAAGAAGCCGGAUGUGGAGAUCCUGGGCUGGCGCGGUUACACCUUGUCUGCGGUUGUGAGGCCAGUCGGAAGUAAUAACAAAUUCUCUCAAACAACAUUGGAGGUGGCUUAUGGUAGAGAAAUUAACAUUCAAUUUUCUGGCAACAGUUCUGGUGGACAUUCCUGCAGUCAGCAUGCCAAUUGUACGCUCCCUCAACUUGAGACAUCUGUGACAUUUUUGUUUGGCAAAACGGCACAUUUUAGUGGCCUUUUAUUGUCCCCUGCACAAGGUGCACCUGUGUAAUGAUCAUGCUGUUUAAUCAGCUUCUUGAUAUGCCACACCUAUCAGGUGGAUGGAUUAUCUUGGCAAAGGAGAAAUGCUCACUAACAGGGAUGUAAACAAAUUUGUUCACUUUACAUGUUGCCUUUUUUAUAUUUUUGGUCAGUGUAUAUAUUCUACUAAAAAAAGGUUUAUCACAGUAACUACAGCUCAGUCUGUGGACAACGUGUUGCGGUCACUAUAGCUGACAUUCUAUGGCUUUGCUGUGCAAAAUGUGGUGGGAUGGUUUUACUAGAUGUGUAAAUGUGGUAUUUAAGGUAUUAAUGUAGCCUUUUAUUAAAAUAAAUCACUCAUUACAUUAA